rnacentral:rRNA from 1 species
GACGAACGCUGGCGGCGUGCCUAACACAUGCAAGUCGAGCGGGGUUGAAGCGAGGGGUAACUCGAACUUCUACCUAGCGGCGGACGGGUGAGUAACGCGUGGGCAACCUGCCUCAAGGUCUGGGAUAACAGCUCGAAAGGGCUGCUAAUACCGGAUAUGCCUAUAGCCUCGCAUGGGGCUAUGAGCAAAGGGGAAACCCGCCUUGAGAUGGGCCCGCGUCCCAUCAGCUAGUUGGUGAGGUAACAGCUCACCAAGGCGACGACGGGUAGCCGGCCUGAGAGGGUGACCGGCCACACUGGGACUGAGACACGGCCCAGACUCCUACGGGGGGCAGCAGUGGGGGAUCUUGCACAAUGGGCGAAAGCCUGAUGUAGCGACGCCGCGUGAGCGAAGAAGGCCCUUGGGUUCGUAAAGACUCUGUCUGGAGGGACGAAGGAAGUGACGGUACCGUCCGGACGGAAGCCGAACGGCUAACGUACGUGCCAGCAGCGCGGUAAGAUACACGUGUACG